rnacentral:rRNA from 1 species
GACGAACGCUGGCGGCGUGCCUAAUACAUGCAAGUCGAGCGGACCGAAGGGAGCUUGCUCCUUUAGGUUAGCGGCGGACGGGUGAGUAACACGUGGGCAACCUGCCCUGCAGACUGGGAUAACUUCGGGAAACCGAAGCUAAUACCGGAUAACACCGAAAACCGCAUGGUUUUCGGUUGAAAGGCGGCUUUUAGCUGUCACUGCAGGAUGGGCCCGCGGCGCAUUAGAUAGUUGGUGGGGUAACGGCCUACCAAGUCGACGAUCGGUAGCCGAACUGAGAGGUUGAUCGGCCGCAUUGGGACUGAGACACGGCCCAG